AUUGAACGCUGGCGGCAGGCCUAACACAUGCAAGUCGAACGAGUGGCGCACGGGUGAGUAAUGUCUGGGAAACUGCCUGAUGGAGGGGGAUAACUACUGGAAACGGUAGCUAAUACCGCAUACCAUCGGAUGUGCCCAGAUGGGAUUGGCUAGUAGGGGGGGUAACGGCUCACCUAGGCAACUAUCCCUAGCUGGUCUGAAAGGAUGACCAGCCACCCUGGAACUGACAAACGGUCCAAACUCCUCAGGGAGGAAGCAGUGGGGAAUGUUUCACAAUGGGCGCACGCCUGAUGCAGCCAUGCCGCGUGUAUAAAGAAGGCCUUCGAGUUGUAAAGUACUUUCAGCGGGGAGGCGUUACCCGCAGAAGAAGCGCCGGCUAACUCCGUGCCAGCAGCCGCGGUAAUUC
rnacentral:rRNA from 1 species